UGGGGGACUCAAAACGGAGGACAGUGGGGACACAAACUAGAUGAAGGGAAAACACAAAGAAAAAUAAUUAUUUGACCACAGCGCCGUGGUGUUAAAGGGCUUUGAUCUCCGUUGCCAUGGCGCUUGGCUGAGCUGCCGGUCAGUUCACUGGGCACUUCCUGUUUCCUCUCAUUCUUUUUCAACAUGUCUGACGAACCGAGCAUAAUGAGUACUGUCAAACUGGGGGGAAAAAACGGGACGAGCUGUUACACACACACACACACACACAAAGUGCACAGGAAUACUGUAUACAUAGGUUUUUUGUUUUUUUGCAAUAUCGCUGAUGGUUUCAGCGUUUAUAGGUCAAAGGUCAGGUUUAUAAAUGUGGCGAAGCGUCCACAUAAAGCAAUAAACAUUUCUAUUCGUAUUUAUCACGAGCGUGCAACGUGUUUUGGCGGUGUAUUAGGGUGCUCUGUGCUCGAUUAGCUCUUAGCUUGCUUUAUUCUUUUUUUUUUUGGCAGAAUUAAUCCUAAAAAAUAAUUGCGAUGCCUUCAUCCAAUUUACGAACUUGUGAACCGAUCAGUUCCUAUGCAUUGAAAAGCCUGAUUGAUUAAAAAAAAAAAGCGAGGGCUACUUUUUAUGUUUUAUAAGUCAAAAAUGAAAUAAAUAAAGAGUUGGUGUGGGUUUGUACUGGGAUGCAUUUUAUCGGAAAUCAAGCCUAAUUGCAUGUUAGCAUUAGAAUUAGCAAGACUAAAGUAGAUCUUGUAUUUAAAAAAAUAAAAUAAAAUUGUAAAAAUAAAAUUUUCAAACACAAUUUCUUAGAUUUAUGGCAUGAAAAGUGUCGAGUACGACAGCCUGAGUAGUGCAAAAGAUUUCUAAAAAUGUACUGGAUGUCUAACAAGACCAUGAAUUAUUAUUAUUAUUAUUAUUAUUAUUAUUAUUUACACGACAGAUGAAAGAACUUUCUAUCUCUUUCAAUCUCAAGCUAGCAAAGAACGAUGGAUGAAAGAGGCAGGAGUUUUGCAUAAUUUCCUGAUAACAGCUGCUAAUUUUUUGCUCCACUUGUGGAAUAAACAACCUCGUAACUAUGCUAGCUGGCUACCGUUCACUUUUGGUCAAAAGGAAUUUGGUCUUGCUUAUUUUUUGCCCAGCUAUUUUUUUUUUAAUCCUGCUAGCUAGCAAACCGUAACACUCUCCAGCUAGCUGAUUAGCUUUACACGGGGCAUUCAAAAUAAUUCUAGUAUACGAUAAUACGUGGCCUGUCUGGACAUCCGUAGUUUGUUUUGUUUUUUUUAUUUACAAAUAGGUCAUGAUGUUACAAGCGACAGUUUUUCAGGUCAGUUUAUUUCUAUAUUUGUUUCGAUUUUUUCAAAGCGUGCAUUUGAGAAAUAUCAAAAUUGUAAACGUUUUACUGCGUGUGAUCAGGCCGCGGUGUGUGGUGCAUUAGUGCAUAUUAUUAUUAUUAUUAUUAUUGUUAUUAUUAUUAUUAUCAUUGUCAUUGAACUCCUCUCCAUUACAUGAACAAAGGCGUGUUGGUCGAUUAACGUUUACUUUACUCACCCACGAUACACCUGCACAGGGAGUGAUGAGGUCACGCGUUGAGCUGAAGCGAAAAUGACUUCUAGAAAGGUCUCGGCUGUGUUCCAAAUACAAAGUGAUGAAUGUUUUCCAGUAGUUAUGAUAUGAAGUGUUUAUUGUGGUGCUCGCUCGACCAUUUAGUGAGGACCGGCGUAGACACUUGGUAGGGAGACUAGUUUAUUAUAAAUGAAGCAGGCAGUAACACUCGACGUUUAGGCCGUGGCUUUGUGCGUGAGAACAUUCAGGACGCCGUCCUUUAGCAACAUUAAGAAAAACAUAGUUCCGGCUCAAAUCAAAACUGGAAUACUGAGUAUUUCAAAACUUUUGUGUUUAUUUUAGAAGCUGAAGGCAAAUUCGUAUGUCCCGAGUGAGAAGUUUGCGAAAUGUCCAUGCCUUUGUUCCAGGUCCAAACUGGAAAAGACUGGAAAAGAUCUGCGCUCAAGUGUUUUAACUGAGAGAGAGAGAGAAUUGAAUAUAAUGCUCGCUCGACCGUUUACCCGGAUACUUUCAUGCAAUGGUGCUUUUGAACAGAGUGAUAACAAUGAUGUUAGUGAUACACCGCCAGCAGUGUUCCAAAUCGGAGCUGGAACCCUCAUGUGCCAUGUGUUCAAGACUUGAAAGAGGAAAAAAUAUGAUGCUUGUUGUGGAUUUCGAGUUGCUGUUAAAGCUUGUUUUAAGCUCCGGAUUUCAGGCUGCGUUCCAAGUCAAAAACUGGAAAUCUCGGUGUGUACUUGAUGAUGGUGAGGAUUGUAAAAGGUGUUUUUUAAAAACGUUUCAGAUAGUGAUAUAUGUAUAUUUUCACAUUUUUACAAAGGAGGAUUUGAGAAGACGAAGUCGUCACGUUUCAACCAUUUUGAGCGUGAUUAUUAAACUGUACUGCUCAUAUUGUUGUCUGCUGUUGUUGUUGUUUUUUUUUUUUUUUAUAGUCAUUGGUGGAAAUCAGAUUGAGAUUCAGAAGGUUUACCGAGAACGUGACGCUCCAGCUUAGCGUAAAUGCAACGGACACUCCAUGUUUUCUACGUAUUUUAAAAGACGAGCGCUCUGAUCGUGUCACGUUUUAACUCCUGAAUCUUUUUUUUUGUUUUUUUUUGAGUAUGUUCUUCCCAGCUGUUACUCCCGAUGCAGCAUGCUAACGCUAAAUGCUAGCCACUCUUUGGAUGUUGGGAUACGCACAUGACGUCUGUUCUUUCCUCAGCGGUUUACAGCGAUGCAACAGACUGGACAAUAUCAUCUCAUUGCAUCGCAUCAGCGUCACGUGGGUUCACGUUUAUUCUCAUGUAAUUAGCAAAGCAAGGCUAACACGAGCGUAGAAACAGGACUACGCGUGCAUCAGAUUGCGGCGCCGCGGUUUAUAUUAUCGCUCUUGCAACCGAAAAGACGGAUGUGCGCGGCGAUUGUUACAAUUUACAAAUGUUACAGAGUGCACGCUAGCUCAGAGGCACCAGCAUUGCUAAAGAACACAAUUUUAACACAAACCAUGUAGCGUAUUUCAAUUCCGUGCUAAAGGUUGGCCGGAAAUGUGCUUUUUACAGACGAUUGACUCCUCAGCCCCGCCCUCUUUUUAAAAAUAAAUAAAUAAAUAAAUAAAAAAGUCGGUUGACAAAAUUGAUUUCUGUGAAUUUGCAGAGCAAAGAAAAGCAUCUUUCACGUCUUGCGUCCUUUCAGAGAAUCUGCUUUUCCUUAGUUUUCAGCUGUCUCCAGAUUGAGAGUCAUAUUUGCUAAGGAUAAAUGGCGGAGCCUCUGCUAGCAAAGCGACUUGUCGCACUUGUGGGCGUGGCCUGUUAUUUAAGGUCAAAAUGGUGAUAGCCAGAACUUACUGCCUGCAUUUAUAUUUUAUAUUAAUUUAUAGCGUGAAAAUUGAGACGUUACACGCACUUUAUAGUUACACGUCGCUAGUGUGAACUUUACUGAUUAACAUUGGUCAGUUUCCCGCAGGUAGCACUGGAUUAUGAAACUGAACACGGUCACAUGGUGCAUUUUCAAAACAGCCAAUCAGAGCCUCCCAAUCCAGCUGGUUAUCGUGUAACACGAUUCAGAAUGUAAUCAGCGUUUUACAGAUUUUACUACCUGUUUACGGCUGCUUUCACACUCCGGCUCACGUGACGUGCUCUCUGUAACCAUGGCAACAUGCUUACUAGUCCUAGCUGUAGUAGCUAGUCCAGUAUUGGCUAACUAGCCUGGCUAGCUCCGUGGAAUAUGUUUAUUAUUUGUUAUAUUGGGAAUGUAGAUGAAGUAAAGGUUGGUGUUUUGUCUUAGGUGCAGCUUCAGAAAAUUCAAGCUGCUUUUUUGUGUUUUAUUUUACGUUAUAUUUACACCGCCUCUCAGCGAUGAGACACUUUUUCUCCACCAGUGCUCCACGUCUGAGCCCGAAUCUGCGACCUGAUUGGUUAAGAGUGGAGGAGGAAACACUCCUCACGCCACUCAAAAAGAACGUGCUUCGAAACGUGUGUUUGCGGGUUGAAAGUGUGAAAGCAGCCUGCGGUGUGUGACGAACUACAACUAAAGCGAUUGUAAGAACUGAAAUAUCUCAAUAUUGCAUUAAAAAUAAAUAAUAACAGAAAUAAUGAAAUUAUACAACGUGAAGCUCGCUCGCGCUCAGCGUCGUGUGAGGACCUGUUUCUCCUGCACCAGGGCUAUGUGUAUAGUAUAUAAAUACAGAGCUAUAGAUAUGUAACUGUAUGUCUUUUAUGUUUGUUUUUUUUUCAUGAAUGUCCGUUUCUCAUCCGCACACGCCGAACUCCUCGCUCAUGAACACUGCAUAUCUUUCUCUGAUGAAAUGAUGACUGUCUGUGUAAAGAUUUAAAAAAUGUUUUUGAGAUUAAUAUACGAGAUAGCGCCUUUACAUUUGUUUUUCUUUGGAAAUUAUUAAACUUGAAAUAAAAGUGAUUGCGUGUCCUGUGUCUUUAUUUCCUCUUGUUUUUAUUUGUUUACAUUUUUUUGUCAGUAAAAAUUUGGAAAGGUUUUAUUUGAGAGUGGUUUUUGUUUUGCCGUUAAUGCUGCCAUAUCUUCAGUACUGACAGAACAGAAUCGCAGCAUUAUAGCCAUUUUAUAGCAUUAUUUGUCUGUUUACAUUUCAAGAAAAAACAAAGCAAACAGUUCUUGAUUUUGUGGCAUUUGAGUAAAUCGUUUGUAGUAGAAAGCAAAAAAAGAAUGUAUAAGGUGAUUACUCCAGUAAAGCACAGGUCUUUUUUUUUUUUUUUUUUUUAAACAAAAGCUCUUGCUGGUAUUUUCGCAGGUCAAUUUGCAUGAAUUUACAUUUGUACUAAUCAAAUACGUGUCAAUUUGCAUAGGCCUACUUCAUAAAACCAAAAAAAAUUCUUUGUAUAGCUAAUGUUGGAAAUAAAAAUGUUUCUUUCACACUGUGUAAAGCUCUCAAGGGAAAAAAA
ensembl:lncRNA